ACCACCACCACUACUACUACUACUAAGAGCAACAGUAACGACAUUGAUCAUAACGAUAAUGAUAAUUAAGAGCAAACUUUAUUCAUACGAGAAAUAUGUUGUGGAACCAGUCAUACAACUAGUUUUAUUUCUUUUCUAAAUCCAGCCAAUAUUUUCUGUCGUUAGGAAAAAAAAGAACUUUCUAUCAUACGCUUCCUCCAACAAGUAUUAACAGGUGACCGGGAUUUUUGUUUACAAAAAAUGGCUACCUUAGCAACGGUGGAUACCGGGAAAUUCCUUUACGGUUUACUGCUUACGUCCACAUAGACAUAACUACAGUAAAGUGCCACACAUCUCCCGACUUUCUUUUCACACAAUUUUAUGAAAAAUUUAUAUUUCUAAAUGAAAUUUUACACACUUACGUUUUCAAGGAUAAAGAUUACAAUUAUGUUGAUAACAUUUGAAGCUAAAAAUAUUUUUAAGGAGUUUCCGAUCAUUCUCUUCUGUUCAAUUUUGUUCGGAUUCCCUUAUAACUCUCUUUGAAAUGUAUUUUUUGAAUGACAAUUUACAGAAAUUCGUUUUCGAUGUUUUAAGUCAUGUUGGUGUUUCAAACGGAGAGGACUUUUUUUUUAUUAUUUAAAAAAGUGAAAAUUACUAAUUACGGAAAUUAGUGGUAACAAAUGAAGAUGGAGCGGAUGACCCGAAACUCCACCCUAAAAUUUUUAUUUCUAAAUUUUAUUCGCAUAAUCGAAAAUUUAUGUACUCAUAAUAAACAGUACACCCCACCGCCAUAUAUAUGUGUGUGUGUGCGCGCGCGCGUUUGUGUUUGUUGCAAAGGAUAAAGUCGUGGGGUAGGGGUUAUGUUAGUGUGCGGUGUAUAAUGAGUGUGUGUGUGGGGGGUACAAUUU